UACGGAGGGUGCGAGCGUUGUUCGGAAUCACUGGGCGUAAAGGGCGUGUAGGCGGUCCGCUAAGUCUGAUGUGAAAGCCCGGGGCUCACCCCCGGAAGGGCAUUGGAAACUGGCGGACUCGAGUCCCGGAGAGGAAGGUGGAAUUCCUGGUGUAGCGGUGAAAUGCGUAGAUAUCAGGAAGAACACCCGUGGCUAAGGCGGCUCUCUAGUACGGUACUGACGCUGAGACGCGAAAGCGUGGGGAGCGAACAGG
rnacentral:rRNA from 1 species